AAUCAACGCUGGCGGCGUGCCUCAGACAUGCAAGUCGAACGCGAAAUUUCCCUUCGGGGAGAAAGUAGAGUGGCGCACGGGUGAGUAACACGUAGGUAAUUUGCCUUUGGGUGGGGAAUAACUCAGGGAAACUUGAGCUAAUACCGCAUAAUGCAGCGGCUCGACAUCGAGACAGUUGUUAAAGCGGGGGAUUGGAGCAAUCCGACCUCGCGCCUAAAGAGAAGCCUGCGGCAGAUUAGCUAGUUGGUAAGGUAAUGGCUUACCAAGGCGACGAUCUGUAACCGGCCUGAGAGGGCGGUCGGUCACACUGACACUGACAUACGGGUCAGACUCCUACGGGAGGCAGCAGUCGGGAAUUUUGGGCAAUGGGCGCAAGCCUGACCCAGCAACGCCGCGUGAAGGAUGAAAUUUUCGGAAUGUAAACUUCGCAAGAACAGGAAGAAUAAGUGUGGGACAAUACCCACAUGAUGACGGUACUGUUUGUAAGCUCCGGCUAACUCCGUGCC
rnacentral:rRNA from 1 species